rnacentral:misc_RNA from 1 species
GCCCACGUGGAAAUCAUUGUUAUCUGGCAUUUAUCAUCCUUUGCAAGAUUGUCUAGUUUCCGCAAUAAGAAAGUUCUCAAAGCAUCCUGUUCACUUGCACUAAUAAACUUCAGAGUGAUUUCCUCAAAUGAUAAUAUAUAAUUAACUUUUGCAUAGAAGGAUGCUGCUCUCAAAAAAUCCCUGGAGUCAAAUGCAGCAUCUGCCUGCAACAAAUAUACUUGGUCUCUCUGCAGCGGGUCACGGCAAUUUGCUAAAGCUGCAGCAUAUUCCUUCAUGUCUAGAUACACCUUCCACAUAUCCCGUCCUUCGUCAUUAACAGACACCUGAAAUACAGAAUUUUGGUCAUAUGCAUAGAACAAGCCAGCAGUGGCAUCGAUACAUAAUCCAAUAACAUCCCUUGAAACUGAUUCAGAUGUUUGAUCAAACUGAAGUUCCUCUAUAAUUUGCUCACUAAUUCUGUUCACAACCUUAACCUUAUUUCCAAUAAGAAGCAAGAAAUGAAAUUCAGAUACUGCCAUAGAAGAUGGUUUAAUUGCAUCAGCACCAUCACUUAGUUUUGAAUAGUCCAGAAGAGCCUUGCUCUCCACAAAAUUUUCAUCUCCAUUUGGAUAACUAUGCUGUGCUCCAAAAUUU